rnacentral:piRNA from 1 species
UGACUCUUCAGAGCAUGUAAUCCUUCAGA